rnacentral:rRNA from 1 species
CCUACGGGAGGCAGCAGUGGGGAAUAUUGCACAAUGGGCGAAAGCCUGAUGCAGCAACGCCGCGUGAAGGAAGAAGGGUUUCGGCUCGUAAACUUCUAUCAACAGGGACGAAAGACAUGACGGUACCUGAAUAAGACGCCCCGGCUACCUACGUGCCAGCAGCCGCGGUAAUACGGAGGGGGCAAGCGUUAUCCGGAAUUACUGGUUGUAAAGGGUGAGUAGGCGGCAUGGUAAGCCAGAUGUGAAAGCCUUGGGCUUAACCCGAGGAUUGCAUUUGGAACUAACAAGCUAGAGUGCAGGAGAGGAAAGCGGAAUUACUAGUGUAGCGGUGAAAUGCGUAGAUAUUAGGAAGAACACCAGUGGCGAAGGCGGCUUUCUGGACUGAAACUGACGCUGAGGCACGAAAGCGUGGGGAGCGAACAGGAUUAGAUACCCCAGUAGUC